rnacentral:rRNA from 1 species
AAAUUGAAGAGUUUGAUCAUGGCUCAGAUUGAACGCUGGCGGCAGGCCUAACACAUGCAAGUCGAACGGUAACAGGAAGCAGCUUGCUGCUUUGCUGACGAGUGGCGGACGGGUGAGUAAUGUCUGGGAAACUGCCUGAUGGAGGGGGAUAACUACUGGAAACGGUGGCUAAUACCGCAUAACGUCGCAAGACCAAAGAGGGGGACCUUCGGGCCUCUUGCCAUCAGAUGUGCCCAGAUGGGAUUAGCUUGUUGGUGAGGUAACGGCUCACCAAGGCGACGAUCCCUAGCUGGUCUGAGAGGAUGACCAGCCACACUGGAACUGAGACACGGUCCAGACUCCUACGGGAGGCAGCAGUGGGGAAUAUUGCACAAUGGGCGCAAGCCUGAUGCAGCCAUGCCGCGUGUAUGAAGAAGGCCUUCGGGUUGUAAAGUACUUUCAGCGGGGAGGAAGGUGUUGUGGUUAAUAACCGCAGCAAUUGACGUUACCCGCAGAAGAAGCACCGG